AGAAUAAUUCACCAAAAUCUUUUGUCAUCAUGGAGAAGAAAGGCUGUAAAACCAUAUCUAAUUCUUGUCCACGGUCUACCAUAAUUGCACAUGAGAAAGAAGGCUAAGGUAAAGAAAGAAGGCUAAGGUAAUUUCAGAGCCUAAACACUCUGCGACUGUUGAAGCCCCUGCGAUUCCCUCCCUUUUCGCUGCGAUUUCAGAGCCUAAAC
rnacentral:lncRNA from 1 species